CAAUAGCGUAUAUUUAAGUUGUUGCAGUUAAAAAGCUCGUAGUCGGAUUUUGGCUGAGAACGCACGGUCCGCCGUUAGGUGUGCACUGUUUGGUCUCAGCUUCCUGGUGAGGAGGUGUGCUUCACGGCCACUUAGUCACCGUGGUUACUUUGAAAAAAUUAGAGUGUUCAAAGCGGGCUUACGCUUGAAUAUAUUAGCAUGGAAUAACACCAUAGGACUCCUGUCCUAUUUCGUUGGUCUCGGGACGGGAGUAAUGAUUAAGAGGAACAGUUGGGGGCAUUCGUAUUUCAUUGUCAGAGGUGAAAUUCUUGGAUUUAUGAAAGACGAACUUCUGCGAAAGCAUUUGCCAAGGAUGUUUUCAUUGA
rnacentral:rRNA from 1 species